GAUGAAGAACGUAGCGAAAUGCGAUAAGUAAUGUGAAUUGCAGAAUUCAGUGAAUCAUCGAAUCUUUGAACGCACAUUGCGCCCCUUGGUAUUCCGAGGGGCAUGCCUGUUCGAGCGUCAUUUCAACCCUCAAGCUCUGCUUGGUAUUGGGCCCUGCCGCUGGGCAGGCCUUAAAAUCAGUGGCGGUGCCGUCGCGGCUCCAAGCGUAGUACAUCUCUCGCUCCGGAGGCCCGGUGGUGUCUCGCCAGACAACCCCCAAAUUGUCUUCUAUGGUUGACCUCGGAUCAGGUAGGGAUACCCGCUGAACUUAAGCAUAUCAAUAAGCGGAGGA
rnacentral:misc_RNA from 1 species